GCUGAUUGGUUGUGUGGUUGAGGGGUUUUGAUUGAGUGGAGUGGUGGUCAGUUCCGCGGUUUCAGCGUUCAGCUCCACAGCGCGUGCAAGAAACACACUUUCUUCAUCUCUCUAUACGCUGAGAUGCUCCUGUAAGAUGGUGAUGUGGAGGAGAAACAUCUGCACAGAAGGAACCAGUGUUCUGGAAGCUGGGAGAUGAGCAGGACCAAGAGACCAGCAGGACAGAAGGAAAGGUGAGGAGGAUGAGGGAGGCAGCAGGAUGUGAGGUGUGACAGGUGAAGGACACACAGAUUGCUGGUAAUCCACAUUACUGUAGGAAACACAGUGGAGUCGAUCACAAGUUCUGAUCAUUUUACCCACAGCCCUGGUUUUGUUCUUUUCAGCACUUCAGUCUGACAAACAAGGAGGAAAAAAACAAGCGAAUAAAAGGAGGAUGAAGGAGGUAAAGAGCUCGGUCCACUGCAGCUGAUAAUAAGAACUUUAUAUAAAGCACAUUCACAUGUGAAGAUGCCUUGGAAUGGAUUUUAGUGACACACACACACACACACACACACACACACACACCGUCAUUUCUCUCCUCAGGUGUGACAUCAGCAGCCUGCGUGCAGCCUCACGUACAAUAAAUAGGACAACACCGAGACGCUGCACCUCAUUCAGAGCGACACACACACACACACACACACACGUGAUAUGCUGAUCAGUGAUAAGUAACGAGUAACAUAAAUACCAGAAAGAGACAACAGAGAUAUAAGAUAAAAAAAAACACAAAAAUCAAGUGACAUUUUUUCUCUCGCUUUUGUUCCCUUCGCCAUCACACACACACACACACACACACACACACACACACACACACGGUGUGAGAGCGGAUGAGAAUCUCCUUGUCCAACUGUGUGUCCUUUCACUGAGAGACAGACAGGUCCAUUCCUCAGUCCGUCUCCUGUCUGUCUCUCUGGCUGUAUAAAGGCAUGUUGGGUUUA